rnacentral:lncRNA from 1 species
UGUCUUAGAAUAUUGUAGUUUGAACCAUUUUUUUUUACUUUCUAUUUUUCUGUUCUUCUUCAUUAAUUUUGUAUAUUUAAUAUGCUUCUUUCUUUUUUCACUUUCGUUUUGUAGCAAAUACAUGAACAUUUUCUUAAAAAAUGUAUGGACUUUUGGGGAUUUGGUUUAAAUUUUAUUAGCAUUUUCUUAUAUCCGUGAACGUCGUUGUAGAAACAUAUUAACAUUUUUUUGAAUAAAUUUAUUCAACUUUACUAACAAAAUGUUUAGAACAACAAAAGAAAGGAAACAAUAAGGUUGAGAACAAUGAGGGUCGAACCCUAGAUAAUACACCUCUUAGCUAGUAACCGUUGAACCAAACUUGACGAGUUAUUUCUGUUUAGCUUA